CCUGAGAAACGGCUACCACAUCCAAGGAAGGCAGCAGGCGCGCAAAUUACCCACUCCCGGCACGGGGAGGUAGUGACGAAAAAUAACGAUACGGGACUCAUCCGAGGCCCCGUAAUCGGAAUGAGUACACUCUAAACCCUUUAACGAGGAUCAAUUGGAGGGCAAGUCUGGUGCCAGCAGCCGCGGUAAUUCCAGCUCCAAUAGCGUAUAUUAAAGUUGUUGCGGUUAAAAAGCUCGUAGUCGAAUCUGUGUCCCGCGUCGCCGGUUCAUCGUCCGCGGUGUUAACUGGCGUUCCGGGGACGUCCUGCCGGAGGGCUUAGCUCGCAAGGGCGGCCCAACUCAAUCCCGCCGACUCAAUCCCGCCGCGGUGCUCUUCACUGAGUGUCGAGGUGGGCCGGCACGUUUACUUUGAACAAAUUAGAGUGCUUAAAGCAGGCUAAAAUUUCGCCUGAAUACUGUGUGCAUGGAAUAAUGGAAUAGGACCUCGGUUCUAUUUUGUUGGUUUUCGGAACCCCGAGGUAAUGAUUAAUAGGAACGGAUGGGGGCAUUCGUAUUGCGACGUUAGAGGUGAAAUUCUUGGACCGUCGCAAGCAAGACAGAAGCGAAAGCAUUUGCCAAAAACGCUUUCAUUGAUCAAGAACGAAAGUUAGAGGUUCGAAGGCGAUCAGAUACCGCCCUAGUUCUAACCAUAAACGAUGCCAGCUAGCGAUCCGCCGACGUUCCUCCGAUGACUCGGCGGGCAGCUUCCGGGAAACCAAAGCUUUUGGGUUCCGGGGGAAGUAUGGUUGCAAAGCUGAAACUUAAAGGAAUUGACGGAAGGGCACCACCAGGAGUGGAGCCUGCGGCUUAAUUUGACUCAACACGGGAAACCUCACCAGGCCCGGACACCGGAAGGAUUGACAGAUUGAGAGCUCUUUCUUGAUUCGGUGGGUGGUGGUGCAUGGCCGUUCUUAGUUGGUGGAGCGAUUUGUCUGGUUAAUUCCGAUAACGAACGAGACUC
rnacentral:rRNA from 1 species